rnacentral:lncRNA from 1 species
UGGCCUUUGUCGAAUUCACGCAAUUUCGCACACGCUAAUUUUAUAAUUCUCAUUUGCAUAAUUCUGUUUCUGUUUAAAGAUUUCUGAAAGACAUUAUCCCACUGAUAUCCCGAUAUUGACAUCGCAAUGCUCACAUCCCAAUAAUUUUACGUCAGGAUUCCAAGAUGGAAAGAGGCAUUUUUCGGUAAACCCACCACUACUACGGGCAGCAGAAUCCGCCGUCCAGA